CCAUCUGCUGAAGAAGGGAUGGUUUCCAAGGGGCGUCAGCUCUUUGGCGCCCUUGUAUCCAUGUUGCUUCACAAGGAGGAUAUGGCUAUGAGAA
rnacentral:sRNA from 1 species